UACGGGAGGCAGCAGUCGGGAAUAUUGCGCAAUGGAGGAAACUCUGACGCAGUGACGCCGCGUAUAGGAAGAAGGUUUUCGGAUUGUAAACUAUUUUAGACAGGGAAGAUAAAAGACGGUACCUGUAGAAUAAGCUCCGGCUAACUACGUGCCAGCAGCCGCGGUAAU
rnacentral:rRNA from 1 species